UAGGGAAUCUUCCACAAUGGACGCAAGUCUGAUGGAGCAACGCCGCGUGAGUGAAGGAGGUCUUCGGAUCGUAAAGCUCUGUUGUUGGUGAAGAAGGAUAGAGGCAGUAACUGGUCUUUAUUUGACGGUAAUCAACCAGAAAGUCACGGCUAACUACGUGCCAG
rnacentral:rRNA from 1 species